AUUGAACGCUGGCGGCAUGCCUUACACAUGCAAGUCGAACGGCAGCACGGGUGCUUGCACCUGGUGGCGAGUGGCGAACGGGUGAGUAAUACAUCGGAACAUGUCCUGUAGUGGGGGAUAGCCCGGCGAAAGCCGGAUUAAUACCGCAUACGAUCUACGGAUGAAAGCGGGGGACCUUCUGGCCUCGCGCUUUAGGGUUGGCCGAUGGCUGAUUAGCUAGUUGGUGGGGUAAAGGCCUACCAAGGCGACGAUCAGUAGCUGGUCUGAGAGGACGACCAGCCACACUGGGACUGAGACACGGCCCAGACUCCUACGGGAGGCAGCAGUGGGGAAUUUUGGACAAUGGGCGAAAGCCUGAUCCAGCAAUGCCGCGUGUGUGAAGAAGGCCUUCGGGUUGUAAAGCACUUUUGUCCGGAAAGAAAUACUUGGCCCUAAUACGGUCGGGGGAUGACGGUACCGGAAGAAUAAGCACCGGCUAACUACGUG
rnacentral:rRNA from 1 species